rnacentral:rRNA from 1 species
UGGGGAAUCUUGCGCAAUGGGCGAAAGCCUGACGCAGCGACACCGCGUGAGGGACGAAGGCCUUCGGGUUGUAAACCUCUUUCGGCAGGGACGAAGCGAAUCGUGACGGUACCUGCAGAAGAAGCUCCGGCUAACUACGUGCCAGCAGCCGCGGUAAGACGUAGGGAGCGAGCGUUGUCCGGAUUCAUUGGGCGUAAAGAGCGCGCAGGCGGCUUGGUAAGUCGGAUGUGAAAACCCGGAGCUCAACUCCGGGCGUGCAUCCGAUACUGCCCGGCUAGAGGUAGGUGGGGAGAUCGGAAUUCCUGGUGUAGCGGUGGAAUGCGCAGAUAUCAGGAGGAACACCGGUGGCGAAGGCGGAUCUCUGGGCCUUACCUGACGCUCAGGCGCGAAAGCUAGGGGAGCGAACAGGAUUAGAUACCCUGGUAGUCCUAGCUGUAAACGUUGGGUGCUAGGUGUGGGUGGACAUCGACCCCAUCCGUGCCGAAGCUAACGCU